rnacentral:rRNA from 1 species
GACGAACGCUGGCGGCGUGCUUAACACAUGCAAGUCGAGCGAUGAAGCACCUUCGGGUGUGAAUUAGCGGCGAACGGGUGAGGAACACGUGAGAAAUCUGCCUUCAACACUGGGAUAACUCCGGGAAACCGGGGCUAAUACCGGAUAUGAAACCUGCGGGCAUCCGCGGGUUUGGAAAGUUUUUCGGUUGAAGAUGAUCUCGCGGCCUAUCAGCUUGUUGGUGGGGUGAUGGCCUACCAAGGCGACGACGGGUAGCCGGCCUGAGAGGGUGACCGGCCACACUGGGACUGAGAUACGGCCCAGACUCCUACGGGAGGCAGCAGUGGGGAAUAUUGCACAAUGGGCGCAAGCCUGAUGCAGCGACGCCGCGUGAGGGAUGACGGCCUUCGGGUUGUAAACCUCUUUCAGCACCGACGAAGCGCAAGUGACGGUAGGUGCAGAAGAAGGACCGGCCAACUACGUGCCAGCCGCCGCCGUAA